UAGGGAAUCUUCCACAAUGGACGCAAGUCUGAUGGAGCAACGCCGCGUGAGUGAAGAAGGUUUUCGGAUCGUAAAGCCCUGUUGUUGGUGAAGAAGGAUAGAGGUAGUAACUGGCCUUUAUUUGACGGUAAUCAACCAGAAAGUCACGGCUAACUACGUGCCAGCAGCCGCGGUAAUACGUAGGUGGCAAGCGUUGUCCGGAUUUAUUGGGCGUAAAGCGAGCGCAGGCGGAAGAAUAAGUCUGAUGUGAAAGCCCUCGGCUUAACCGGGGAACUGCAUCGGAAACUGUUUUUCUUGAGUGCAGAAGAGGAGAGUGGAAUUCCAGGUGUAACGGUGGAAUGCGUAGGUAUAUGGAAGAACACCAGUGGCGAAGGCGACUCUCUGGUCUGCAACUGAAGCUGAGGCUCGAAAGCAUGGGUAGCGAACAGG
rnacentral:rRNA from 1 species